GAACGCUUAGUAGCUAGAGCGAUCCGAUUGUCAUCGGAUAGGUCAGGGGUUCGACUCCCCUAGAGUCCA
rnacentral:tRNA from 1 species